rnacentral:piRNA from 1 species
UCAGAACGCUCUUAGACAUGCUGAU